rnacentral:rRNA from 1 species
UACGGAGGAUCCAAGCGUUAUCCGGAUUUAUUGGGUUUAAAGGGUGCGUAGGCGGCCUGUUAAGUCAGGGGUGAAAGACGGUGGCUCAACCAUCGCAGUGCCCUUGAUACUGACGGGCUUGAAUCAACUAGAGGUGGGCGGAAUGUGACAAGUAGCGGUGAAAUGCAUAGAUAUGUCACAGAACACCGAUUGCGAAGGCAGCUCACUAUGGUUGUAUUGACGCUGAGGCACGAAAGCGUGGGGAUCAAACAGG